UACGUAGGGUGCGAGCGUUAAUCGGAAUUACUGGGCGUAAAGCGUGCGCAGGCGGUUUGUUAAGACAGAUGUGAAAUCCCCGGGCUCAACCCGGGAACUGCGUCCGAUACUGGCAGGCUUGAAUCCGGGAGAGGGAUGUGGAAUUCCAGGUGUAGCGGUGAAAUGCGUAGAUAUCUGGAGGAACACCGGUGGCGAAGGCGGCAUCCUGGACCGGCAUUGACGCUGAGGCGCGAAAGCCAGGGGAGCAAACGGG
rnacentral:rRNA from 1 species